GACGAACGCUGGCGGCGUGCCUAACACAUGCAAGUCAACUUGACUGAAGGAGCAAUCUGACAGUAGAGUGGCGCAAGGGUGCGUAACGCGUAAGUAACUUGCCCAAGGUAAGGAAUAACGUCGGAGAAAUCGGCGCUAAUACCUCAUAAUGCAGCGGAUCCGCAUGGAUAUGUUGUUAAAGGUUUACCGCCUUGGGAUAGGCUUGCGUCUGAUUAGCUAGUUGGUGUGGUAACGGCACACCAAGGCUACGAUCAGUAACUGGUCUGAGAGGAUGAUCAGUCACACUGGAACUGAGACACGGUCCAGACUCCUACGGGAGGCAGCAGUGAGGAAUAUUGGGCAAUGCUCGAAAGAGUGACCAGCAACGCCGCGUGGAGGAUGAAGGUA
rnacentral:rRNA from 1 species